rnacentral:rRNA from 1 species
UACGUAGGGUGCGAGCGUUGUUCGGAAUUACUGGGCGUAAAGCGCGCGCAGGCGGCUCUUUAAGUCUCGUGGUCAAAUGCCGGGGCUCAACCCCGAGCGUGCCGGGGAUACUGGAGGGCUGGAGACAGGUAGAGGCAAGCGGAAUUCCGGGUGUAGCGGUGGAAUGCGUAGAGAUCCGGAAGAACACCGGAGGCGAAGGCGGCUUGCUGGACCUGGUCUGACGCUGAGGCGCGAAAGCGUGGGGAGCGAACAGG